rnacentral:rRNA from 1 species
CCUACGGGUGACAGCAGUGAGGAAUAUUGGUCAAUGGACGCAAGUCUGAACCAGCCAUGCCGCGUGAAGGAUGACUGCCCUAUGGGUUGUAAACUGCUUUUAUAUGGGGGUAAAUUUCGAUACGUGUACCGUUUUGUAUGUACCGUAUGAAUAAGGAUCGGCUAACUCCGUGCCAGCAGCCGCGGUAAUACGGAGGAUUCGAGCGUUAUCCGGAUUUAUUGGGUUUAAAGGGUGCGUAGGCGGAUCGAUAAGUUAGUUGUGAAAGUUCGCGGCUCAACCGUGACAUUGCAUUUGAUACUGUCUGGCUUGAGUGCAGUAGCGGUAGGCGGAAUGUGUGGUGUAGCGGUGAAAUGCUUAGAUAUCAUGCAGAACUCCGAUUGCGAAGGCAGCUUACCAAACUGCAACUGACGUUGAGGCUCGAAAGUGUGGGUAGCAAACAGGAUUAGAUACCCCUGUAGUC